GACGAACGCUGGCGGCGUGCUUAACACAUGCAAGUCGAACGGAAAGGCCUCUUUCGGGGGGUACUCGAGUGGCGAACGGGUGAGUAACACGUGAGUAACCUGCCCUUGACUUUGGGAUAACUUCAGGAAACUGGGGCUAAUACCGGAUAGUAGUUCCUGCUGCAGGGUGGGGGUUGGAAAGUUUCGGCGGUUGGGGAUGGACUCGCGGCGUAUCAGCUUGUUGGGGGGGGAGUGGCUUACCAAGGCUUUGACGGGUAGCCGGCCUGAGAGGGUGACCGGCCACAUUGGGACUGAGAUACGGCCCAGAUUCCGACGGGAGGCAGCAGGGGGGAAUAUUGAACAAUGGGUGGAAGCCUGAUGCUGCAACGCCGUGUGCGGGAUGACGGCCUUCGGGUUGUAAACCGCUUUCGCUCAUGACGAAGCUUUGUGUGACGGUAGUGGGUAAAGAAGCACCGGCUAACUACGUG
rnacentral:rRNA from 1 species